CCCAACCAUUGAAAGCUUAGCGCGUAGAAUACGCCUUAGCGCGGAGCACGGAAGCCGGUGCAAGCCCGGCGCGGUCGCGCCACUGUAAGCGGUUCAUCGCUGAACCGAAAGCCAGACCCGAGCUCCGCGCAAUUUCAGCCA
rnacentral:ncRNA from 2 species